rnacentral:rRNA from 1 species
GGAUUAGAUACCCGGGUAGUCCACGCCGUAAACGGUGGGUGCUAGGUGUGGGGUCCCUUCCACGGGUUCCGUGCCGCAGCUAACGCAUUAAGCGCCCCGCCUGGGGAGUACGGCCGCAAGGCUAAAACUCAAAGGAAUUGACGGGGGCCCGCACAAGCGGCGGAGCAUGCGGAUUAAUUCGAUGCAACGCGAAGAACCUUACCAAGGCUUGACAUGGGGUGAAAACUCGCAGAGAUGCGGGGUCCGCAAGGGCGCCUCACAGGUGGUGCAUGGUUGUCGUCAGCUCGUGUCGUGAGAUGUUGGGUUAAGUCCCGCAACGAGCGCAACCCUCGUUCUAUGUUGCCAGCACGUGAUGGUGGGGACUCAUAGGAGACUGCCGGGGUCAACUCGGAGG